rnacentral:rRNA from 1 species
GAUGAACGCUGGCGGCGUGCCUAAUACAUGCAAGUCGAGCGAACAGACGAGGAGCUUGCUCCUCUGACGUUAGCGGCGGACGGGUGAGUAACACGUGGAUAACCUACCUAUAAGACUGGGAUAACUUCGGGAAACCGGCGCUAAUCCCGGAUAAUAUAUUGAACCGCAUGGUUCAAUAGUGAAAGACGGUUUUGCUGUCACUUAUAGCUGGUUCCGGGCCGCAUUAGCUAGUUGGGACGGUAACGGCUUACCAAGGCAACGAUGCGUAGCCGACCUGAUAGGGUGAUCGGCCACACUGGAACUGAGACACGGUCCAGACUCCUACGGGAGGCAGCAGUAGGGAAUCUUCCGCAAUGGGCGAAAGCCUGACGGAGCAACGCCGCGUGAGUGAUGAAGGUCUUCGGAUCGUAAAACUCUGUUAUUAGGGAAGAACAAAUGUGUAAGUAACUAUGCACGUCUUGACGGUACCUAAUCAGAAAGCCACGGCUAACUACGUG